rnacentral:rRNA from 1 species
AGCAUCGCGGUGGCGGAGCGUCGUUUGCGACGCCCAACACACAAAACAAGCGGUGAAUGCUUUGGGGUGGGGUGACUGCGUACCUUUUGUAUAAUGGGUCAGCGACUUAUAUUCUGUAGCAAGGUUAACCGAAUAGGGGAGCCGGAGGGAAACCGAGUCUUAAUUGGGCGUUAAGUUGCAGGGUAUAGACCCGAAACCCGGUGAUCUAGCCAUGGGCAGGUUGAAGGUUGGGUAACACUAACUGGAGGACCGAACCGACUAAUGUUGAAAAAUUAGCGGAUGACCUGUGGCUGGGGGUGAAAGGCCAAUCAAACCGGGAGAUAGCUGGUUCUCCCCGAAAGCUAUUUAGGUAGCGCCUCGUGAAUUCAUCUCCGGGGGUAGAGCACUGUUUCGGCUAGGGGGCCAUCCCGGCUUACCAACCCGAUGCAAACUGCGAAUACCGGAGAAUGUUAUCACGGGAGACACACGGCGGGUGCUAACGUCCGUCGUGAAGAGGGAAACAACCCAGACCGCCAGCUAAGGUCCCAAAGUCAUGGUUAAGUGGGAAACGAUGUGGGAAGGCCCAGACAGCCAGGAUGUUGGCUUAGAAGCAGCCAUCAUUUAAAGAAAGCGUAAUAGCUCACUGGUCGAGUCGGCCUGCGCGGAAGAUGUAACGGGGCUAAACCAUGCACCGAAGCUGCGGCAGCGAACGUAUCACCCAAGACAACUUUACGGAGUUGACGAUUGACGGAGCGAAGCGACGUCAAAGCGUUCAUUAAAGUCGAGUUGGCUUAGGGAUACGUUCGUUGGGUAGGGGAGCGUUCUGUAAGCCUGUGAAGGUGUGUCGUGAGGCAUGCUGGAGGUAUCAGAAGUGCGAAUGCUGACAUAAGUAACGAUAAAGCGGGUGAAAAGCCCGCUCGCCGGAAGACCAAGG